GAUGAACGCUAGCUACAGGCUUAACACAUGCAAGUCGAGGGGAAACGAUAGAGAAAGCUUGCUUUUUCUAGGCGUCGACCGGCGCACGGGUGAGUAACGCGUAUCCAACCUGCUCAUCACUUGGGGAUAACCUUGCGAAAGUAAGACUAAUACCCAAUGACGUCUCUAGAAGACAUCUGAAGGAGAUUAAAGAUUUAUCGGUGAUGGAUGGGGAUGCGUCUGAUUAGCUUGUUGGCGGGGUAACGGCCCACCAAGGCGACGAUCAGUAGCCGGACUGAGAGGUUGAUGGCCACAUUGGGACUGAGACACGGCCCAGACUCCUACGGGAGGCAGCAGUGGGGAAUAUUGCACAAUGGGGGAAACCCUGAUGCAGCGACGCCGCGUGAGUGAUGAAGUAUUUC
rnacentral:rRNA from 1 species